GCUCUGGUUCAAGUUAAACUGCUGAGCAAUGUCAAGGUCACUGCAGAGACAAAAGAAAUUCAGUGUAAGGUCAGAGGUCAAGGCGGGGAAAGAAAAUCCACAUCAGUCUUUCCUGCGGCCGCGCUCACUGAGGACUCACUCCAGGUCUGGCAGCGGUUGGUCGAAAUCAUGGAACUCCUCCGGCAGAGUGAUGGCGUUGUAGGCCGCUUCCCUGUUCUCCUCCGGAAGAUCCACCACUCCUGGAACACCAUAGAGGAGGAGAAGGAGGUAACAAUACAUGUGACAUUGUUAGGACUUUAAAAGGUUGGCGUGAUCAUCUGAAGACCGUCCGUCCAGCGUCCGCCGCUCGGCCCCGGCAGCCUGUCAUUGUUGUCAGACGACACUCUGCUUCCUUGACCUUCAGCCCUGGACGGUCGGAUGCCUCUGGCCUCUUCUCACGCUCCGCAGACCUCUGCACGAAUGGAGUCAUAGCUCAGAUCUUACGAGCUCUGACAAGUCACCAGUCACUGGGUGGAGAGGGUUUUAAUGAACUCUUGGCAGCACGAGGUCUCACUUCAGUCUUUUACAGUUCCUUGUGACACCGCCCUGUGCUCUCAGACCUCAGAGCCAGACUCAUGAGUCAGGAGGCAGAGGGAACUCCAGCAAACCUUUUUACAUGUCUGCAGCAGAAGAGAGAGAGAGAGAGAGGGAGGGAGAGUUCAUCUCUGCCAAAAACCGUCCCACAAAUCCCGGAGGGAUCGGACUUAUCUUGGGCACAAAGACCCUGCUUGUAUUUCACUGUAGGUCGUUCUUUGUGUGUGUGAAUCAGCUCCCACUGAAGCCCACGGUGUCUCCCCCCUUUAACCAACCUGUCCGUCUCCCAAAGCUGACAAGCAGGUCUUAUUUAGGGGAGAUGCAGCCCAACAGUCCACUGGGGGCCGGGAUGGAUUCUGUGCACAAAACACACACACAGGUUUACACUGUGUCCAAAUGAGAGCUCACUCAGCACACAUUUCUCACACUGGAGUUGUAUAGAGGCGGGACAGGCUGAGAAAAAGAAAAAAAAAGAAGGGGGGAGCAGUGGGGGGAGGGGAGGGUGUGGUGGAGGUUGGUUGGAGGGGUCCUUUCACUUCUUUUUAGGAGGCAACAAUAGUCUUUGUCCAGGAUCUUCCACCAUUCUUAUUAGUGUUACGGGAAAGAAGGAGGAGGAGGAGGAGGAGGUGAUGGUGGACAAGGGAGGGGAGAGGGUUGAGGUGAGGGGGGGUCAGCCACAGGAGUUUUUCUCCAUAGUGACAAUGACAAAACAGGCCAGUUGAAGUCCAGACAGGCGCGGGGAUGAUUGCAGCUGCCGGGCAGAGGAACACAGAGAGGUGGAGAUGUUGACGGAGGACUAGGACCUGCUGAGGACCAACAGAAGAAGGUUUUACGAAAAAACAAAAAACAAAUACGAAGUGCUGCUGUUAUUGUUCCUCUGUCUCAGAAAGUGCUUGCCUUGCACAUUCCGAGCCUGUCAGCAUGGACCGGGACAGUCACAGCGAGGACACUCUGUCCACCAUGGUCCUGGAGGACAUCAAGAACAAACUGAUCAAUGCCUUCAAGGCCACGGGAGAGUCCAGAGAAGACGGCCAACAGUGCCAGGGCCCCAGAGUCAGACCGCUCAGCAUCGGCCGCAGCCUCCAGGCCAACGAGGAGCUGAGGAGGGCGCAGAUCGAUGGAGCCAUAACCUGGCUGAGGUCUGAGCUGCUGGAGAUGCGUUCCCAGGACCUGCAGCUGGCUCAGACCCUGCUGGGACUCAACACGGAGAUCCAGAGACUGAGGAGGGAGAGUUUGGGAGGAGUGGAGGCAGAGGGGGAGGAUCAGCAGUAGUCGGCCCCCGGAGUGAGCGUCUUCUCCGGGAGGUUCUUCAGUCAGAACGACUGGAAGACGAGAAUCUACAGCAAUGUUCAUUCUGGAGCUCCUGAAGGACGAGGACGGGAACGUGGAUUCAUCUGGACUCAACACGACGUCAACGUUUGGUUUUUAUCACCAUAUAAAGAAUCAUUUUCAUUGGUGAACUGUCAUUGGUCCUAGUUCCUGGUACUAUUUCAAGUUCCUGGCACUGUACCUAGUUUCUGGUAAUCAUUCUGGCUCAAUAUACUGUCCCUAAUUCCUGGUACUUUGUCUAGUUCCUAGUACUAUAUCUGGUACAAGUUCCUUGGACUGUCACUAAUUCCAGGUACCACUACAGUCUUUAGUUUCUGGUACUAAUUCCUGGUGCUAGUUCAGGUACUAGUUUUUUUGUUUGCACUUUUCAGAAGAGGAGUUGAGAAUUUGAAAAAAAAUUGGCUGGAUUUUUUUUAAACUUUAAAGAACAAGAAAGAAAUACAACCCAAUAAUAAAAUAGUGUUGAUUAUUUAUUCAGUUCUUUAUUCCACUGGCAUACUGUACAGCUGCAGUACAGUACCUGUUUAAAAUACUUCAGGUACAUAAAAAAAUACCUGGAAUUUAUCCUACAGUUCAGACACUCUUUGUUUAAUAACAACAACAACAGAGUGAACAGUGAAGAUCGGAGACCGAGGUUGAAGGACUGACAACAGCGUCUUACUGUCAACAGAACUUUUGUCUCUGCAGGAAAAAACAAACAACGAUGUGAAGAACUUCACCGUUUCCUGCUGCGGUGCUGGAUUCGUUAGAUUUACAGUCAUGAAAGAGAGCUCCUGCUUGAGCUCCUGGAUGCCAGAGUGAAGUUCCAUCAGCUGCCUGAUCAGGGCCUGGUCCUGAGAACGCAUUUCCAUCUGUAGACAGAAAAAAAUA